UACGUAGGGUGCGAGCGUUUGUCCGGAAUUAUUGGGCGUAAAGAGCUCGUAGGCGGUGUGUCGCGUCGGCCGUGAAAACCUGGGGCUCAACUCUGGGCGUGCGGUCGAUACGGGCAUCACUUGAGUUCGGCAGGGGAGACUGGAAUUCCUGGUGUAGCGGUGAAAUGCGCAGAUAUCAGGAGGAACACCGGUGGCGAAGGCGGGUCUCUGGGCCGAUACUGACGCU
rnacentral:rRNA from 1 species